CUGGGAUUACAGGUGUGAGCCACCGUGCCCAGCCAGUAUUGAUGAACUAGUGGAACGAUCAGGCUUAAAACAGCAGCUGAAUAGCCCAUUACCUGAGAGUCAGCAAAUAUCCAUGGUCCUCAUCAAGCAGUGCCAGAGAGAGCAGUAGAGGCACAAAACAGCAACAUCACCUACCCUUCCCAUUGCCUUCUUUAGAGUAAGUUCUUUCGUCUGAAGCCUUGACACAGGCUGACAUUCUUCUUAUACAUUUUACUGAAUUGCAGGCAGGAGCUUGGUCUUUUCUCAUCCUUGUAUCUUCUUCAGCUUCAGCAAUUGUACUUCAUCCACACUUGAAUUGUCAAGUGGCCUGGAGCUACCAUUGCUUCAACACAUAUGAGUAAUACACAAAACUAGAGAAACAAAGCUAGAGAACUAUGGAGCACAUUAUACUUUUAGCUCUGUGUUUUAUACUUGUAUGUAUUUGGCAAUUAUGAAUGUACCCCUCUAUGACUUUACAGCAGCACAUUCUUCUCUCUGUGAGGUAGAGAAAAGUGAAAGAGGAUUAGAGGUGAUAUAAAUUAGAUCAAUAGCUUGUAUAGAGAAAUAUACUAGGGGAAUACAUUCAUAUUCAUAAGUAAUUUUAUUAUCUCAUUUGCUGGUUUCACAUACUUACAGUUAAAUGUCUUCACUGUGAAGACAAUAUCCAGGUCUUGAAAUAAUUUUCAUGAAUUCUCUUAUUUUCUCAAGUGGGAGAAGAAUUCUUUAUGAUGUCAAAAUUAGAAAAUGGUUCCAAUGGUUAGGAUUACAAAACUCAUCCAUGUCCUAAUUAAGAACAUUGGUCUGUUAUGACUGAAUUAAUUUCAGCAUGAAUGUGGCUUUCAGAAUAAUCUAUUGGAGGGAAUCUUAAGUUUCUAAUAAUUUAAUAUUAUUUACAUUUUACCCAUAGAAAACUAUUUAAAAUAAAAUCAUUUGAAAAAAUAGAAAUUGACAAAAUAUUAACCUAAAGCAUUAAAUGUAGAAUUUUCUCCUUUAUCACUCCAAAUUUCAAAGGAUUACAUGAAAUAGUUGUUAGAAAAAGUUAUUAAAUAGUAUCCCUCUGAUUAUAAUAGAUAUACAUAUUUUACUAGACAAGUUUGAAUCAGAGAGACAGCUCCUAGGAAUGAUAAUGACUAGGGGAUUGACUAUAGGGAUUCCAACUUACACAUUCGUAAGAGUUGGUUAAACUAUAUAAACCUGCUUUUUUCUACAUUUGACACUGAGACAGAAGUCAGGAAGUCAGGCCAUUGGGAAGGAAAGAUGGUGAAGGGGGAAAGAACAGGACACAUUGGAACACACAAGAGUGAGCUGGAACACAUGUAGGUCUCUUGUCAGCUCCAACUCCCAACAUCAGUGCUAUAUCUGGCUAGAUAUGAAACUGGUGUCCUUUCCUGUGAAGCCAAACACAGCACUGGCCCAAGAGUCACAGAAGAUAAAGGAAGAGACCCAACAAGAGUUGGACGAGCAAGUCCUGUUGCUGCUGCAGACGCCACACACACUGGUCGAGGAUUCGGAGAAGCUGAAGGAGGAGAUCCAGCUGUUGCUGGAGUGACUGUGGGCUGGCCCUGCUCCACUUAGACAAGGUGAGCCGGCCCAUCAGAAACAAUGUGCCCGAUUUGCAAGGGCACCUGAUGUCUUGCACUGUAAUUGCAUUAACCUUCCCAGUAUAAAAGGGUAUGACUGUUGCUGCUUCUCUUCCACUUUUCAAAUGUCAUCUGAAGUAUCUCUUGUAGCCCACAGGAAUUUGGAAUUAUGCUAAAAAGUGGAUUCUGAGAAUCAUGUUUGUAACUUAAAUGAACUUACACAGUACAUAUCACCUUGCAUAUGUCAAAAUAAAAAAUGAAAUAAAAAUCGACACAAUCUCAUCUUCUCCCUGGAAUAAAGACAGUAUCUUUUUCUGAAUACUAUGUGUUCAUCAGUCUUCUCAUCACAGCUUCAGUGCCUGCAUCAGAUAACAUCUUAGGAAGUCUCAUCCAGGUCACCCUUCCUCCAGACACACUGGAUAUGAUCUUAAUUUCUAGAAUAUUAAGAGAAGAUAAUAAGAUAAGAAGGGAAGCAGCAGCCUUAUGAUGUGGUAAUUGUGAGUCGGGGACCUGGGAGCUUUACGAAAGAUAUUGGGUAAUAAGGACUUGGAGAAUUACAUGUUUAACUUCCUUAUCCAGAGUGAUCUGAUGGAUAUAUUUAUUAUUAUGAUGGUAAAGAUAUUAAGUUCAAAUUCAACCCCCAUCAGAGAGGACUGGAAGACUAUUUUAGUUGUCAGGGUAGCCUGACAAUGAACCAGGGCGGCAUACAAACCAUUAGUGAAAACUGCAAAGAUACGUGUAACACACAGGCAAAUAAACAAAGAGAACCUUGUAUGGAAUGUAAAAGAAGCAUACCGCCUACAAACUGCUGGAGGCUUUGAAAGUAAUUUACUGAGAAAGCUUUUUACAGUGGCCCACUUUGGAGCCAUUGAUAAUUAACAAAUAAUUCAGAGUGUAUCCAACUGGUUUCAGCCAAUUUCCUUAGGGAGUUGCCAUACUUUAAAUUCCAUAUAAUAAUACUGUUAGAUCGGUGUCUUCAGUUGCAGUAUGUAAGCACACAAGACUUGAUCCAUGAUCAUAUGGGUCAUAACUUAAGAUCAAUAUUUUAAAUGAUGUAAUAGAAAAUCAACAAGGAAUCUCUCACAAGUAAUAAAUAGCAAUUGAGCCUUAGUUGUGGGUAUAUGGAGUCAUUAUGAAUUCUGCCAAGUAUAUAGGUUUAUGCUUACACAAAUUACUGAGUGAUAAAAGACAACAUUUCUCAUAGUAGCAAUAUGGUUUCAUAACUUAUUCAAGAGCAUAGGUUUCUUCAUGUAGGACACCAAGAAACCAAAGCAUUAUUCUAACCACUUACUCAUAAUAGGUCUGACUUUAGCAGCUGAUGUUUCUGCCUUGCAGAGACUCUGUUUUUCCCAGUCUUGAGAUGAGAUGUGAAGUUUGUCUUAUUCACACUGCGAGGCAUAUGGAAAGAAGCUCGGGCUUUAGAGGCAGAAAUACAUCUGCUCGUGGGAUCUGCUUAGUGCUAAUUUCUGCUUCUGUAAAAUGGGGAUGGGGGAUGUGUCAUUAUUUUUCUCUCACAGGGUUACCCUGAGAAAGCGACACAGUAAAAAGCAAAGUGUGUUGCAAACAGUACAAUACUAUGAAAACAAGUUAAUUUCUGACUCGUCAUCCCAGGUUUGUAGUACCUGAAGGGCUGAUGACAAAAGGCAGCCAUUCAUGUAAAAGCACCUAAAUGGGAAAAUUCUCUUGUUUUAUUUAUAAAACUCUUUCACUCUCUGCUUUUUAUCUACUCUUCCUGAUACUCUUUGAAAAUACACAUAAUUUCAUCUUCCUCAUAGCCUGAUAUUCUUUUCCUUUUUAAUGAACUGGAAAACAUAAGAACUAGCAUCAUAUUCUCUCUUUCUCCAUCCUCUUCAUCAUUUUAACUACUCAUACAACAGAGCCUUCAAUUGUGGGUCACAUGUCAGUCAGCCAUUUCCAGAAUUGAUUUGAAAAACUAUAUUUAGGUAUGAGAUUGCCUUUUCAGUAGAUAGAACCAUCUUUUCCACUCCUUCUCUUCCACUUAGCUCUUCUAUAAGCUAUCCAGUCCCCUAUUCUCUGGUUUAUCAGUGGACUUCUACCAAUAAUACUUUUUCUAUCUGCCUGAAUCAUUGUGUUAGUUGAUUUUCCAACAUUCUUUUCCAGCUGAUAUCAAACCCUGAGUUAUUCCAUCUAUCUGAUUUCAUUGUUCUUGCUCUAAGGCUGUUAGCUAUUCUCUAGCUAAUCUCCAGAGAUUGCUAGAGAGAAUCAUCCAUCCUAUAUCCAUGCAUGCCCUUGUAAAUGUCCUGUCUGGACCUAGCUGGAACUCACCUAACCACAGGCAAAAUGAAUGUAGCAGCCAAAUAGCUGGGUUCGCAAAAUGUGUUCUGAACCAAGCUACAUUGCCCACAGACAUUACUCUUUCCUGCACUGCUCAGGCUCUGACUUUUUACCUCCUCAUUCCAUUUGUGUUUGCCCCACUUCCAAUUUUGGCAUCUUGGUUUAUUCUUACCUGCUUCAUCUUCUGGCUUUAAGCUCAUCUCAAAGGGUUGUCAUGUUCAAACUCAUUAGCCAAUAUUUUGCAUACUCUGGCUUCGGCCCAAGACUAA